rnacentral:rRNA from 1 species
AGAGUUUGAUCAUGGCUCAGGAUGAACGCUAGCUACGGGCUUAGCACAUGCAAGUCGAGGGGAAACGACAUCGAAAGCUUGCUUUUGAUGGGCGUCGACCGGCGUACGGGUGGGUAACGCGUAUCCAACCUGCCCACCACUUGGGGAUAACCUUGCGAAAGUAAGACUAAUACCCAAUGAUAUCUCUAGAAGACAUCUGAAAGAGAUUAAAGAUUUAUCGGUGGUGGAUGGGGAUGCGUCUGAUUAGCUUGUUGGCGGGGUAACGGCCCACCAAGGCAACGAUCAGUAGGGGUUCUGAGAGGAAGGUCCCCCACAUUGGAACUGAGACACGGUCCAAACUCCUACGGGAGGCAGCA